rnacentral:lncRNA from 1 species
ACAAUUUUUAUCCUUCCCUCCCCCUCCCAUCAAUUGUUUCCUUGUGCGUUCACACUGCACCUCUCCUUCUCGUUCUAAUAUCGAUUAAAAUGCCCCUUCUUCUUGACUCACAUUUGCGUAUAAACCAGCGGACCCUAGUUCCAGUCGCGCGUAACGUCGAACGACCCGUCUGAAAAAAAAUUGGUGCGACACGAGGACUUCCCAAGAGGUCACCCAUCCGAGUACUACUCUCGCCCAAGCACACUUAACUGCAGAGUUCUGACGGGAUCCGGUGCAUUAGUGCUGGUAUGAUCGCACCCGUUUAAUUCUGCGCUGCAAAUACAUAAACUUCUUCUCCUUUCUUCCCCCUCCCGUCAUUUGUUUCCUUGUGCGUGCGCAUUGCACCUCCCGUGCUCGUUCUAAUAUCAAGUAAAAUGCUACGGUGCCGUGACUCACAUUUGCGAAUAAACCUGAGGACCAUAAUUCAAGUCGCGCGUAUCGUCGAAAGAAUCAUCUGCAAAAAAAUGGGUGCAACACGAGGACUUCCUAAGAAAAUGGGUGAAAUAUAAGGACUUCGCAGGUGGUCACCCAUCCUAGUGCUACUCUCGCCCAAGCACCCUUAACAUGCGAAUUUCUGAUAGAAUCUGUUGCAUUCGUGCUGGUAUGAUUGCUCAUGUUUCAUUAUGCGCUGCAAAUACAUACACUUUUUCUCCCUCCAUCCCCCCUCCCGUCAUUUGUUUCAUUGUGCGUGCACUCUGCAUCUAUCCUUCUCGUUCUAAUAUCGAUUAAAAUGCCCCUGCUUCUUGACUCACAUUUGCGUAUAAACCAUUGGACCCUAGUUCUAGUCGCGCGUAACGUCGAACGACCCGUCUCAAAAAAAAAUUAAUACGACACGAGGACUUCCCAAGAGGUCACCCAUCCAAGUACUACUCUCGCCCAAGCACACUUAACUGCGGAGUUCUAAUGGGAUCCGAUGCAUUAGUGCUGGUAUGAUAGCAACUGUUUAAUUUCGCGCUGCAAAUACAUAAACUCCUUCACCUUUAUUCCCCCUCUCGUCAUUUGUUUCCUUGUGCGUGCGCACUGCACCUCUCGUUGUCAUUCAAAUAUCAUGUAAAAUGCCACGGCGCCGUGACUCACAUUUGCGAAUAAAUCUGCGGACCAUAAUUAAAGUCGCGCGUAACGUCGAACUGCACAUCUGAAAAAAAGAAAAUGGGUGCAACACGAGAACUUCCCAGGAGGUAACCCAUCAUUGUACUACUUUCGCCAAAGCACACUUAACUACGGAGUUCUGAGGGGAUCCGGUGCAUUUGUGCUGGUGUGACCGCACUUGUUUAAUUUCGUGCUGAAAAUACAUACACUCCUUCUUCCCUCCCGCCUCCAAUCAUUUGUUUCCUUGUGCGUUCACACUGCACCUCUCCUUCUCGUUCUAAUAUCAAUUAAAAUGUCCCUGAUUCUUGACUCACAUUUGCGUAUAAACCAGCGGACCAUAGUUCCAGUCGCGCGUAACGUCGAACGACCCAUCUGAAAAAAAAUUGUUGCGAUACGAGGACUUCCCAAGAGCUCACCCAUCCGAGUACUACUCUCGCCCAAGCACGCUUAACUGCAGAGUUCUGAUGGGAUCCAGUGCAUUAGUGCUGGUAUGAUGCCACUUGUUUAAUUUUGCGCUUCAAAUACAUACACUCCUUCUCUUUUCUUCCUCCUCCCGUCAUUUGUUUCCUUGUGCGUGCGCACUACACCUCCCGUACUCAUUCUAAUAUCAAGUAAAAUGCCACGGCGCCGUGACUCACAUUUGCGAAUAAACCUGUGGACCAUAAAUCAAGUCGCGCGUAACGUCGAAAGAAUCAUCUGCAAAAAGAUGGGUGCAAGACGAGGACCUCCCAAGAAAAUGGGUGAAAUAUAAGGACUUCGCAGGAGGUCACCCAUCCGAGUACUUUUCUCGCCCAAUCACCCUUAACUGCGGAGUUCUGAUAGAAUCCGUUGCAUUAGUGCUGGUAUGAUCUCUCAUGUUUCAUUAUGCACUGCAAAUACAUACACUAUUUCUCCUCCCAUCCCCCCUCCCGUCAUUUGUUUCCUUGUGCGUGCACUCUACAUCUCUCUUUCUCGUUCUAAUAUCAAGUAA